ACUAGAUUGACGGGCCUUGUGCCGGCUAAAAUAUUAAUUAACAACUAACCACCCUAUUCAGCGGGCUUCUAUCUA
rnacentral:tRNA from 1 species